rnacentral:rRNA from 1 species
UGGGGAAUUUUGGGACAAUGGGCGAAAGCCUGAUCCAGCAAUGCCGCGUGUGUGAAGAAGGCCUUCGGGUUGUAAAGCACUUUUGUCCGGAAAGAAAUCCUUGGCUCUAAUACAGUCGGGGGAUGACGGUACCGGAAGAAUAAGCACCGGCUAACUACGUGCCAGCAGCCGCGGUAAUACGUAGGGUGCAAGCGUUAAUCGGAAUUACUGGGCGUAAAGCGUGCGCAGGCGGUUUGCUAAGACCGAUGUGAAAUCCCCGGGCUCAACCUGGGAACUGCAUUGGUGACUGGCAGGCUAGAGUAUGGCAGAGGGGGGUAGAAUUCCACGUGUAGCAGUGAAAUGCGUAGAGAUGUGGAGGAAUACCGAUGGCGAAGGCAGCCCCCUGGGCCAAUACUGACGCUCAUGCACGAAAGCGUGGGGAGCAAACAGGAUUAGAUACCCUGGUAGUCCACGCCCUAAACGAUGUCAACUAGUUGUUGGGGAUUCAUUUCCUUAGUAACGUAGCUAACGCGUGAAGUUGACCGCCUGGGGAGUACGGUCGCAAGAUU